AGAGUUUGAUCCUGGCUCAGAGUGAACGCUGGCGGUAGGCCUAACACAUGCAAGUCGAACGGCAGCACAGGAGAGCUUGCUCUCUGGGUGGCGAGUGGCGGACGGGUGAGGAAUACAUCGGAAUCUACUUUUUCGUGGGGGAUAACGUAGGGAAACUUACGCUAAUACCGCAUACGACCUACGGGUGAAAGCAGGGGAUCUUCGGACCUUGCGCGAUUGAAUGAGCCGAUGUCGGAUUAGCUGGUUGGCGGGGUAAAGGCCCACCAAGGCGACGAUCCGUAGCUGGUCUGAGAGGAUGAUCAGCCACACUGGAACUGAGACACGGUCCAGACUCCUACGGGAGGCAGCAGUGGGGAAUAUUGGACAAUGGGCGCAAGCCUUAUCCAGCCAUACCGCGUGGGUGAAGAAGGCCUUCGGGUUGUAAAGCCCUUUUGUUGGGAAAGAAAUCCAGCUGGUUAAUACCCGGUUGGGAUGACGGUACCCAAAGAAUAAGCACCGGCUAACUUCGUGCCAGCAGCCGCGGUAAUACGAAGGGUGCAAGCGUUACUCGGAAUUACUGGGCGUAAAGCGUGCGUAGGUGGUCGUUUAAGUCCGUUGCGAAAGCCCUGGGCUCAACCUGGGAACUGCAGUGGAUACUGGGCGACUAGAGUGUGGUAGAGGGUAGCGGAAUUCCUGGUGUAGCAGUGAAAUGCGUAGAGAUCAGGAGGAACAUCCAUGGCGAAGGCAG
rnacentral:rRNA from 1 species